rnacentral:rRNA from 1 species
UAAGGAAUAUUGGUCAAUGGACGCAAGUCUGAACCAGCCAUGCCGCGUGAAGGAUGAAGGUCCUCUGGAUUGUAAACUUCUUUUAUCUGGGACGAAAACGGGAUUUUUAUCUCAAUUGACGGUACCAGAGGAAUAAGCACCGGCUAACUCCGUGCCAGCAGCCGCGGUAAUACGGAGGGUGCGAGCGUUAUCCGGAUUUACUGGGUUUAAAGGGUGCGUAGGUGGGCUUAUAAGUCAGUGGUGAAAUCUCCGCGCUUAACUUGGAAACUGCCGUUGAUACUAUAGGUCUUGAAUUAUCUGGAGGUAAGCGGAAUAUGUCAUGUAGCGGUGAAAUGCUUAGAUAUGACAUAGAACACCAAUUGCGAAGGCAGCUUACUACAUAUAAAUUGACGCUGAGGCACGAAAGCGUGGGGAUCAAACA